rnacentral:sRNA from 1 species
UUUAAAGGAAGCCCAGCUAAAAACGCGACGUCCUGUCGCAACGCUGGACGCCGUACAUCCUGUACG